rnacentral:tRNA from 1 species
CGUAGCUCAACUGGAUAGAGCGUCUGACUACGGAUCAGAAGGUUGGGGGUUCAAAUCCCUCCGGGUGC